rnacentral:rRNA from 1 species
CUACGGGCCGCAGCAGUGAGGAAUAUUGCACAAUGGGGGGAACCCUGAUGCAGCAACGCCGCGUGGAGGAUGACGCAUUUCGGUGUGUAAACUCCUUUUAUAUGUCAAGAAAAUGACGGUAGCAUAUGAAUAAGCACCGGCUAACUCCGUGCCAGCAGCCGCGGUAAUACGGAGGGUGCAAGCGUUACUCGGAAUCACUGGGCGUAAAGGACGCGUAGGCGGGUUGGAAAGUCAGGUGUGAAAUCCUACAGCUUAACUGUAGAACUGCACUUGAAACUUCUAAUCUAGAGUAUGGGAGGGGGAGAUGGAAUUAGUGGUGUAGGGGUAAUAUCCGUAGAUAUCACUAGGAAUACCUAAAGCGAAGGCGAUCUCCUGGAACAUUACUGACGCUAAGGCGUGAAAGCGUGGGGAGCAAACAGGAUUAGAUACCCCUGUAGUC